GGGGUCUCCUGCGGCAACGGGGGCAGCAAGCCCGCGUAGAAGAAGCGCUGGUACCGGGGGUCCCAGUACACAGGCUGCGGCGACAGGUGUCUGGAAUACCUGUUGUUGUUGGCAUCCUAGACGGCUCCUAUAUCAAAAUACAGUGCCCAGACAACAACGUCUCUUCCACCUACUGCAACCGGCACCAUUACCUUUCAUUAACCCUUCAAGCGGUCUGUGACCACAAAUAACGAUUCCUUGACUCCUGCAUUAGAAGCUCCAGCAAAACUCACGAUUCCCGAAUCUUCAAGCUAUCAUCGCUAUCAAAGAAACUUCCCAAACUAUGCGAGGACAAUGUGUACCACCUGCUUGGAAAUGCGGCCUAUCUCUUGAGGCAGUACCUUCUGACUCAUUUCAGAGACUAUGGAGCGUUGUCAAAGGCACACAUGGAUUUCAACAAAAAGUUUUCAGCAAUGAGGAUUCUAACAGAAGACAGUUUUAGCAACCUAAAGAAAACGUUCCAUCUACUAAUCUACCUUGAGCUCCACACUGUAAAGUGGCUGAACAAAUUUAUUAUUGCCUGUUGCAUAGCGCACAACUUAUGCAUUGAGUGCGGAGACCUGGAGCCAGAUGAACCAAACGAUGAUGUAUCGCCUCAAUAUGUCCAGUGGCAUCCACAAUCAUGCACCGAUAACCUGGAUGAGACUACCGAAGAAACUUCGCUGUGCAGACUGGGAGAAAUAAAAAGGAGCAAGGUGCUGGAAGCAGUGCUGCAAAAGCAGUAGUGGUGCGCAACAACUAAUGAACUCAUGAAAAUGGCAGGUGUGUAAGGAGUGUAAUAAAUUGCUACAUUUGUUGUAA